UACGGGGGGUGCGAGCGUUGUUCGGAAUUAUUGGGCGUAAAGCGCGUGCAGGCGGUUUGUUAAGUCUGAUGUGAAAGCCCCGGGCCUAACCUGGGAAGUGCACUGGAUACUGGCAGACUCGAAUACGGGAGGGGGCAGCGGAAUUCCUGGUGUAGGGGUGAAAUCCGUAGAUAUCAGGAAGAACACCGGUGGCGAAGGCGGCUGCCUGGACCGAUACUGACGCUGAGGAGCGAAAGCGUGGGGAGCGAACAGG
rnacentral:rRNA from 1 species